rnacentral:rRNA from 2 species
CAACUUUCAGCAACGGAUCUCUUGGCUCUCGCAUCGAUGAAGAACGCAGCGAAAUGCGAUAAGUAAUGUGAAUUGCAGAAUUCAGUGAAUCAUCGAAUCUUUGAACGCACCUUGCGCCCUUUGGUAUUCCGAAGGGCAUGCCUGUUUGAGUGUCAUUAAA